rnacentral:tRNA from 1 species
GCGGGAUUGGCCGAGGGGUUAGGCACUUGGUUCCCAACCAAGACACAGGGGUUCGAGUCCCCUAUCCCGCU